AUACGGAGGGUGCAAGCGUUAUUCGGAAUCACUGGGCGUAAAGGACGCGUAGGCGGGUUGGCAAGUCAGAUGUGAAAUCCUACAGCUUAACUGUAGAACUGCAUUUGAAACUGCUAACCUAGAGUAUGGGAGGGGGAGAUGGAAUUAGUGUGUAGGGGUAAAAUCCGUAGAUAUCACUAGGAAUACCGAAAGCGAAGGCGAUCUCCUGGAACAUAACUGACGCUAAGGCGUGAAAGCGUGGAGAGCAAACAGGAUUAGAAACCCUUGUAGUCC
rnacentral:rRNA from 1 species